GAGGCAGUACCCCGCGUGAACAAUCAAACGGUCCGAUGACGGUGUUCUUUCUCAUCUACGAAAGUUUCACCCGUUCGUGAUUUGGCUUAGCGGGUGUAGUAGCACAUAUCCCUACCCGUUAAAUCAGUGGCGUCCUCUAUCUCCAGCCUGAGACCCUCUGCCGCCGCCGCCGCCGCUGCCAUCGCCUCGUCUUCCCUUCCUCCUCUCGACCUUCAGGCUCUCCUCUUCAAUGGUCGUGACGGUCCCCUCGGCUAGUGGAUCUAGCCACAAAGCCCCUUCUCUUACUCCCGUUCAUGGAGGUGAUGGCGGGAUCCGUCCUUCGGCUGGCGGCGGCUCUUCUCCCUUUGCCGGCUCUUUUUCAUGCCUCAAGCCUGUACUCAUGCCGUGGAAUCCAGAUGAUGAUAGUACCAGCCAAUACUCUUUUAUUCGGAUCAGAAGUCUGCGUACCACUAGUAUGAUCUUAUUUUAAUUUUUAUGAUGGAAGGAUCAAUAUAGUGACACAGCCUCUACUUUUGUCAAAGCUCAGUUGAUCUGCAUUUUUAUAAGUAAUCUAAUUUGAUCUCGUACCACUAGAAAGAUCGUCUUGACUUCUCUAUGCUAUGUCACAUACUCUGUCUAGAAGUAUGCAUAAAUACUCGCACAUAUGUAUGUACUGUUUUUCAUGCCUAGAUAAAAUAUCUUGAAUACAUACAUACUCUCUCUCUUCUAAACCCUCACAAAACUAUAUGCAUCAUAUUACUUUCUUUCUUUUUCAGCUAGAAGUGUUUCUAUAUACAUUGUUAGACUAGAGUAUACUACACAUAUUUUGUUUUUAAAUAGAGUAGCAAAGGAUACAUUUUCCAGGCAAGAGUAUUGGAUCAUAAGUUGUUGGAUUACAGUUUCUCUAGAUACUAGCAAAAUAACUGCAAGUUUAACUUUGACUUUCAGGUGGAAGGAUCAAUAUAGUAAAGCAGCCUCUGCCUUUGUCAAAGCUCAGUUGAUCUGUAUUUUCAUAAGUAAUCUAAAUUGAUCUCGUAAUAUUUUUUUCUUUCUGCAGGUAUGAUGUGGCCAAUCUAAUGGUGAUGUGUGAUUUCGUUGUGCUUGGUCCCCUUCUUAGAUCAUAUUGGAGUAUCACUAUACUUUUUAACAUUUAAUAUCAUUUUAUCCUUUUUCAGACUCCAGUAUGUAUAUUCCAUACUUGAUGUGGUGACUGCUACAAGCAUCCAUCUCUACAUUCUAGUUCUAUUAGUUGUGCUUGCUUGGUGCUAAAAUUAAUUAUCAAGAUGUCUCGACAAUGACAAGUCAAGAUGGCCUAAUGCAUUAUAAGAUCAUGAACGCGGACCAACUCAUCAAACAGAGGCCACACCGUGAGACCACAACAUUGCUGUAAUCAUAGAAUAUUAUUAUUAUCGGUAUUAGUUUCUGCCGAUGAGUAUGUAUUAAUACUUCCUUAUAUUCUUGUAUAUAUAUACUCAUUUUGUAAAGAUUGUACAUACAUAUAGUUCCUAAUUAAGAUGUACUGUAUUGAUACU